GCCUCUGAUCGUUUAGGUGGUAGGACGUUUCAUCCCGAAUGAUUUGUGCUGGUUCGAAUCCAGCUCAGGGGCA
rnacentral:tRNA from 1 species